rnacentral:rRNA from 1 species
CAGUAGCCACGGUAAUACGUAGGGUGCAAGCGUUAAUCGGAAUUACUGGGCGUAAAGCGUGCGCAGGCGGUUAUAUAAGACAGAUGUGAAAUCCCCGGGCUCAACCUGGGAACUGCAUUUGUGACUGUAUAGCUAGAGUACGGCAGAGGGGGAUGGAAUUCCGCGUGUAGCAGUGAAAUGCGUAGAUAUGCGGAGGAACACCGAUGGCGAAGGCAAUCCCCUGGGCCUGUACUGACGCUCAUGCACGAAAGCGUGGGGAGCAAACAGGAUUAGAUACCCCGGUGGUCCCUGUCUCUUAUAC